UUUAGAUAUUUGAGGAUUUAAAAAAUCGCCAGCCCGUGUGCUUCAUUAUGAGAAGCUUCUGGGUUCGGGACACAACCCAGAAAUAUAUUAAUUAAAGCGCACUACUACAGACUUUUUAGCACUGGGGGAAGAUGUGGCUGGAUCAAGUCAAGCUCUGUCAACUAGGGGUGGAUGAAGAUUCACGGCAGGAAAAAGAAAAAACCUAGAGUAAAGUUGGUGCUGGGCUCCCACCGUGGCCCAGACGGGGGUAAUUUGAUAGCAAGGCAA